UGCGUAGGCGGGUAGGUAAGUCAGUGGUGAAAUCUCAGAGCUUAACUCUGAAACUGCCAUUGAUACUAUCUAUCUUGAAUAUUGUGGAGGUUUGCGGAAUAUGUCAUGUAGCGGUGAAAUGCUUAGAUAUGACAUAGAACACCUAUUGCGAAGGCAGCAGGCUACACAUAUAUUGACGCUGAGGCACGAAAGCGUGGGAUCAAACAGGAUUAGAUACCCUGGUAGUCCACGCCCUAAACGAUGAUUACUCGACAUUUGUGAUACACUAUAAGUGUCUGAGCGAAAGCAUUAAGUAAUCCACCUGGGAAGUACGACCGCAAGGUUGAA
rnacentral:rRNA from 1 species